rnacentral:misc_RNA from 1 species
GUGAAUCAUCAAAUUUUUGAACGCAAAUUGCACUCUCCGGUUUUCCGGGAGGGUAUGCCUGUUUGCGGGUCAGCCUAAAAAAAAUCGACAUUGUUGCUGUGUUAUGGUGACUUUCGUCGGAUAUGGGUUAUCUUAAAUCUAGGUUUAAUGGACUUAAUAAUUUUUUUUACGAUUCUAAGAAUUUUUCUAAGAUUUUUCUUGUACGCUUUAGGUAUCGAAUUUCUGAUUAGACGUGUCCGUCAUAUCGGAGAGUGUCCAUAAUUUUUGUCGUUA